AUGGGUUCAGAGAACAUCGGCCCCAGAGAUGUCUGCGUUGUGGGGGUCGCGCGCACCCCUAUGGGUGGUUUCCUCGGCGCCCUGUCUUCCUUGUCUGCUACCAAACUCGGCUCCGUAGCUAUCGAAGCCGCUCUGAAAAGGGCGAAUGUGGAUCCAUCCCUUGUGCAGGAGGUCUUCUUCGGCAAUGUCUUGAGUGCUAACUUGGGGCAAGCUCCCGCGAGACAGGCUGCUUUAGGUGCAGGGAUACCGAACACGGUUGUUUGCACGACAGUCAACAAAGUUUGCGCUUCUGGCAUGAAAGCAACGAUGUUUGCUGCACAGUCGAUUCAACUGGGCAGCAAUGAUAUUGUAGUGGCAGGUGGUAUGGAAAGCAUGUCGAAUGCUCCGAAAUACAUCGCUGAAGCUAGAAAAGGUUCUCGCUUCGGACAUGACAGCCUUGUUGACGGUAUGCUUAAGGACGGCCUUUGGGAUGUAUAUGGCGAUUGUGCCAUGGGAGUGUGUGCUGAGCUUUGUGCUGAUAAUCAUGCUCUGACAAGGGAAGACCAAGAUGCUUUUGCUAUUCAAAGUAAUGAGCGGGGAAUUGCUGCUCGUGAUAGUGGCGCUUUUGCAUGGGAGAUCGUUCCUGUUGAAGUUCCUGUUGGCAGAGGAAAACAACCGGUACUUGUUGAAAAAGACGAGAGCCUAGACAGGUUUGACCCAGCGAAACUGAGGAAGCUCCGCCCAAGUUUCAAGGAGAACGCUGGCACUGUUACUGCUGGGAACGCCUCUAGUAUAAGUGAUGGUGCUGCCGCAUUAGUAUUGGUGAGUGGGCAGAAGGCUCAAGAACUUGGACUGGAAGUUCUUGCAAGGAUCAAAGGAUUUGCCGAUGCAGCUCAAGCUCCCGAACUAUUUACCACCACCCCGGCACUUGCCAUACCGAAGGCUCUCUCAAAUGCUGGCUUAGAAUCUUCAUCUGUUGAUUUUUAUGAAAUUAAUGAAGCCUUUGCGGCUGUUGCACUCGCAAAUCAGAAGAUUCUUGGAAUUCCUUCAGAAAAGAUUAAUGUACAUGGGGGAGCUGUGUCUUUAGGACACCCUCUUGGAUGCAGCGGUGCUCGCAUCUUGGUCACCCUUAUUGGUGUCCUCAGGGAGAAGGGUGGCAAAAUCGGGGUCGCCGGUGUCUGCAACGGCGGAGGCGGAGCAUCCGCACUUGUUCUCGAGCUCGCGUAA
rnacentral:rRNA from 1 species